rnacentral:lncRNA from 1 species
AUGCAGUCAAGCCAAAAAAUCUCAGCCCAGUCUUCCUUCACACCCCUUGGAAAGCAUCCCCUAAUAAGGAGCCAUUCUGGUGGCCCCUUCGGCCUGGCGAGAUCUUCUGGCUUAUCAGGAAGAAUUCCCAUGUAUUCCUCAACAGCCAUCCCUUCCCACUCAUACUGCGGUGCUUGCUCCUUUUUAAUAUUAAUAUUUAUGGAUAAGAAUUCAUUACCUAAGUGUUUGGUCAAUAUUAACUGGUGUUCGUUAGCACUGACCACACCCAAUGUGACCCACUCUCCUGGUGUCUCUCUCACCACCGCUGGCAUUUGAAAGCAGGUCCUGCGGCUCAUACAUUUCCAAAUCCCAAUCCCAGGGUCACAGUGGUGGCAGAGUAGCCCCCUGGACAGUUCUGUUCAGUGAGUGCGGAUCAGUCACUUCUUUACACAAUGUGGUGCAUUUUUUAAAAAAGAACUCCCUGCUGUAAAACACUGUCAUGAAAGUAGCCUGCCUUGUCUAUCUU